UUUUUUUUUGAAGGAUUAUUUCCUAAAUUCCACAGCAACGUUUUUCUUUUUUUUAAUUUACCGUAAAGCGUACAUUUUUGGGGUACAAAAUCUGUCUGAAUCCACAAGAGAACGCUUAUCCGAUUACAGUCACAUGUUUUAAUUUCAAUUUUGCUACGUCACAGGAGGGCUCGUCUCCAUUUCAGGGUCAGUGACCUCUAACGUCGCAUGUAAGCUGCCCUUAAAAAAGAUGCUUGCUAAGAGGAUCUCCCCGACCUCCUUCUCUGCUAAUCUCAUCUCAAAGUGUUCAUUUACACGCUUCGCCACGGAUACAUUCACACGCCGCCACGUCCUACAGAAAACAAGAACACGUUCAAACACUUUCUACUCAUUUUGUUGGCGCGCGAACUGGAUGGCAUCCGGGUGAAUUUUCGCUUAGUCACCCGGUCCGACUCAAGCUCGUAGCAGUCGGCCUUCUACUAAUUUCAUCCAGCAAAUCAAAGUGAUAUGUGCAACGUCAUGUGCAGGUUUGUGCGCACAAACACACACAAGUGCAAAGUAAGCAGUAGGAUAGGUUGAGUGAUUUUUUUUUUUGUUUUGUUUUGUUUUUGCACAAACUACAGUACAACAAACAUAAUGAUUAGAUUUUGUCAUGAAAGCAGACAUAAUUUACAAUGGCCAAAUUUGCAUUCGGGGCAAUCUGGGCAGUGCCCCAGCGGCGACAAGUGACCGUUUUAGUUUAGGAUAAUGUGCCUGCUAGCUAGUUACGUUUUUAUUGUGCCUCCAAUAAUUUUUCAAAAACUACAAACCCAGCAAAAUCUGGUCCUGGUGCUGUCGUUAACGCUUGCGUUCCAUUGUGUGUAUGCCGAGGUUGUCCGUCCAUCUUGUUUAUCUGAAGAGACGACUGGCGGGCUUGCAGUGCAGCGUCAGUUGGCGGGAGCUGUAGCCGGACACGCCCACCCCCAUGAAUCCCAGCAGGAACGCCAGGCGGGGCAUCAUGGGACCAUCCCGGCUCUGCAGGACAGUCUGGGCCGCCUGGGUCUGAAAGAGAGAGCAGUGUGUGAUGUUUUGAAAGAGACCUCACGAUUGCCCGACUUGGAUGCCAACAGCCAUGAUGAAGAGAAAAGUCGACGCUGCUCCCGUUCUGGCUGCAAAGCGGCACCGUGAUGAUAGCAGCUCAGAUGAAGAGUCCAGAUUGUCGAGACAAGACUCCAGCCAGAAUGAGUCGCUCAGCGACCAGGAAGAGCCCCGAGCGGGGUUCUCCAUGCCGUCCAUAUCGGUCCACGCCAAGGACGCAGACUCGCCCCCGCAGGGCUCCAAAUUCUCCAUGUACAACAGCGUGUCGCAAAAGCUCAUGGCCAAAAUGGGCUUCCGCGAGGGCGAGGGUCUGGGCAAGUUCGGCCAGGGCCGUAAGGAGAUUGUGGAGGCGUCGACCCAGCGAGGGAGGCGUGGUCUCGGCCUCACGCUGCAGGGCUUCCAGGGGGAGCUCAAUGUCGACUGGCGGGAUGAACCCGAGCCCAGCGCUACAGAGAAAGUGGACUGGUUCCCAGAAUGCACCACAGAAAUUCCUGAUGCAGAUGAGUUGAGGGACUGGAUGGCAGUGGGGCCAAGAAAACUGAAGAUUGAAGACGAAACGGAGUUUUGCACCGAAGACCUCCUGCACACGCUCCUCAGGUGCAAGACGGUGUUUGACGACCUGGACGGCGAGGAGAUGAGGAGAGCGCGCACUCGUUCCAACCCUUACGAGACCAUCCGAGGAGGAAUCUUCCUCAACAGAGCAGCGAUGAAAAUGGCCAACAUCGACCACUGCUUCGACCGCAUGUUCACCGAACCCAAAGCUUCCGACGGGAAGCCUCUGACCCAUGACAACGGCAACGAGCUUUUGUACUUCGGCGACGUGUGCGCCGGGCCCGGCGGCUUUUCCGAGUACAUCCUGUGGAGGAGACGCUGGCACGCCAAAGGCUUCGGCAUGACGCUGAAGGGGCCGUGCGACUUCAAAUUGGAGGAUUUCUACGCCGCGCCCAGCGAGCUGUUUGAGCCUUACUAUGGUGAAGGAGGCGUGGACGGCGAUGGCGACAUCACCCGGCCGGAGAAUGUGACGGCCUUCCGGAACUUUGUGCUGGACAGCACCGAGGGGAGGGGGCUGCACUUCCUCAUGGCGGACGGGGGUUUCUCCGUGGAAGGCCAGGAGAACCUUCAGGAGAUUCUGACCAAGCAGCUGCUGCUCUGCCAGUUCCUCGCCGCUCUCUCGACACUCAGGACAGGCGGCCAUUUUGUCUGCAAGACCUUUGACCUCUUCACUCCUUUCAGCGUGGGUUUGGUCUACCUCCUGUACCUCUGCUUCGACCGCGUCACACUCUUCAAACCCGUGACCAGUCGGCCCGCCAACUCCGAGAGGUACGUGGUGUGCCGAGGUUUAAAGCCGGGCUCGGAGGCCGUCAGGGAGUACAUGUUCCGAGUCAAUCUGAAACUCAAACAGCUGCGAGACACCGACAUGGACGUGACGGACGUGGUUCCCCUCAGCAUCAUCAAAGAGGACGUCGACUUCUUCCACUUCAUGGUCAACUGCAAUGAGAGCCUCUGCGCCGUCCAGAUCAAAGCCCUGGCGAAGAUCCACGCCUUCGUUUUAGACUCGACGCUCGCCGAGUCCAGGCAAGCCGACAUACGCAAGCAAUGUCUCAGUCUGUGGGGGGUGCCCGACAAGGCCAGGGUCACGCCGGCGUCCUCGGACCCGUGGUCCAAAUUUUACGAACUGGUCAAGAAUCCUGACGUGGAGUCGUUCAAAAGCAACCUCACGCCGCUCAACUCCGGCACACUUGAAAAGCUGCGUCACGUCCUGGACCACCGUUGCAUCGUGGGAGGCAGGGAGCAGAUCUUCCUUUUAACGCUGGGCAAGUCUCAGAUUUACACGUGGGACGGAAAGAUGCCGCUCCGCUGGCAGAAGCUGGAGAGCUUCAAGCUGGAGCUCCCGAGAGACUCCCUGCUGAGUGUGGAAAUCGUGCAGGAGCUGAAGGGCGAGGGCAAAGCGCAGCGGCGAAUCAACGCGGUGCACGUGAUGGACGCGCUCAUUCUGAAUGGCACCGAUGUCCGAGAUCAACACUUCAACAAGCGGAUCGAGAUGGCCGAGAAGUUUGUGAAGGCGGUGGCCAAGCCCAGCAGACCGGACAUGAACCCCAUCAGGGUGAAGGAAGUUUACAGGCUGGAGGAAAUGGAGAAGAUUUUUGUACGAUUGGAAAUGAAGGUGACUAAGAGUUCCGGCGGAGUCCCCCGUCUGUCUUACACCGGCCGAGAUGACCGACACUUCCUUCCCACCGGGCUCUACAUCAUCAAGACCACCAACGAGCCAUGGAUGAUGGCCUACAGUAAAAACUCAAACAGGAAGUACUUUUAUAACAAGGCCACCAAGGAGUCCUCCUAUGACACACCAGUCGACGCCGCGUCCCCCUUCCACACGUGCCACGCAGAGCGUCUCUUCUGGGCGUGGGAGGACGGCGUCAUCGUGCACGACUCUCAGACGCGCGUGGACCAUGACAAGCUGUCCAAAGAUGACGUGCUCGCAUUCAUUCACCACAAGCACCAGCUGUGACCCGUCGCUCGGUGGCAGGACCUUGGGGAAACACUUUAGGGACUUUUCUUUUUUUUUUUUUUUUUUAAAUAAUGCAAAUAUACAGUAUCACUUUCUCAAGCAGCCAUUUCAGUUGGUAUAAAGUCCUCCAAGGACCAGACUAAAUGCAUGAUGAAAAACGUCACAACUUUCAACCACAAGGGCGAGCCGUACGAGUUUAACGACUUCCAAGUUUCUCAACCUAAGAGCUGUGUCCAAUUAUGGAGCACUUGUAGGCAACAUAUUUUGAGCUUGUGAUAACAUUUGCUUGAACACAGGGUGGCUUGUCCCUCAGUCAGUAGAGUGGCUCAUCCGGUGAGCGACGGUUCGAAUUCCAACGAUCUGCCCUCAGGGUCCUUGAGCAAGACAACACGAAAUUGUUCCCAGUUUUCCCAACCCCAAGUUUCCCUGUCAACACAAUUUCAGGAACUGUUUGGUAUUCAUUGUUGUGACAUCUGGUCAUUUUUUACAUAAGAGAGCUGAAGAACCACCGCAAAGAUGUCAUGCUACGAUUUGUCUAUUUUUCACUUUUUUUUUUCCCCAUCACGUCAGCGCUGACAAUAAUCAGG